rnacentral:rRNA from 1 species
UGAAAAACAUAAUAGUUACAACUUUCAACAACGGAUCUCUUGGUUCUGGCAUCGAUGAAGAACGCAGCGAAAUGCGAUAAGUAGUGUGAAUUGCAGAAUUCAGUGAAUCAUCGAAUCUUUGAACGCACAUUGCGCCCCUUGGUAUUCCAUGGGGCAUGCCUGUUCGAGCGUCAUUUGUACCUUCAAGCUCUGCUUGGUGUUGGGUGUUUGUCUCGCCUUGCGCGUAGACUCGCCUUAAAACAAUUGGCAGCCGGCGUAUUGAUUUCGGAGCGCAGUACAUCUCGCGCUUUGCACUCAUAACGACGACGUCCAAAAGUACUUUUUACACUCUUGACCUCGGAUCAGGUAGGGAUACCCGCUGAACUUAAGCAUAUCAAUAAGCGGAGGA